ACCCAUUCGAAGAAUUCCAACCACAUGUAAGCGGGAUCCCAGAUAUUACGUACUUCGAGUAUAUUAUAAAAUAUCCCGUCGGUAAAAAAUAUUAAGUUAUCUUAUCGAAGCAGUGCCUGAAGUACAAAAACAUAGAAAAUGGACGACACGGACUGGAUGUCUACCCCGAUCACUGACCCUGAAGAAAUAAAGAAGAAUGGUAACUUGAUGAGAAUCAAAAUGGAGUUGAUGACAAUGGAUAUACAGCGUGAGUUCUGCAGGGCUCUUGAAGAAGAGGAAGAUGGGAAGAAAUUUCAGGUGGAUAAAUGGUCUAAAAAGAG